rfam:Thaumarchaeota archaeon RBG_16_49_8 RBG_16_scaffold_55223, whole genome shotgun sequence.
GCGGUCGUCGUCCAGCCUGGUCCAGGACGUCAGCCCUCCAAGCUGAGAACACGGGUUCAAAUCCCGUCGACCGCA